rnacentral:rRNA from 1 species
UACGAAGGGGGCUAGCGUUGCUCGGAAUCACUGGGCGUAAAGGGCGCGUAGGCGGACUCUUAAGUCGGGGGUGAAAGCCCAGGGCUCAACCCUGGAAUAGCCUUCGAUACUGAGAGUCUUGAGUUCGGAAGAGGUUGGUGGAAUUGCGAGUGUAGAGGUGAAAUUCGUAGAUAUUCGCAAGAACACCAGUGGCGAAGGCGGCCAACUGGUCCGAUACUGACGCUGAGGUGCGAAAGCGUGGGGAGCAAACAGG